rnacentral:rRNA from 1 species
UUUAGAGUUUGAUCCUGGCUCAGGAUGAACGCUAGCGGCAGGCUUAAUACAUGCAAGUCGAACGGUAACAGGUGUAGCAAAACAUGCUGACGAGUGGCGCACGGGUGCGUAACACGUAUGCAACCUACCCUUUACUGGGGGAUAACCCUGAGAAAUUAGGGCUAAUACCCCAUGGUAUUCAGAUGAGGCAUCUUAUUUGAAUUAAAGAUUUAUUGGUAAAGGAUGGGCAUGCGUCCCAUUAGUUUGUUGGUGAGGUAACGGCUCACCAAGACUGUGAUGGGUAGGGGUUCUGAGAGGAUUAUCCCCCACACUGGUACUGAGACACGGACCAGACUCCUACGGGAGGCAGCAGUAAGGAAUAUUGGGCAAUGGGCGCAAGCCUGACCCAGCCAUGCCGCGUGCAGGAAGACGGCCUUAUGGGUUGUAAACUGCUUUUAUGCGAGAAUAAUCGCCCUGACGUGUCGGGGUU